GUUCCUAUGGAGCAGUUGUACUUUGCCUCGGCUCCACAAAAGGGUGGCUGUCAGACAAGUCAGUAUGGUGCAUGACCCGGAGGGAACUUGGAGGUGAUGGUGUUCACAUUCCCUGCUACUCUGCUGCUUUUCAGUCGUGGAGGCUGAGUGUUUGGAAGAUUCUGGUAUGGUUAUGGAUAUUAGAAGGGGAAAAUUUACAAACUAACCAUUACAACAUGAUAUGAUGGAUUUGCCAGUUUUAUCACAAAUGGGACGUGAUCCGAUUUUGAACAUGGAAGGAAACAGCCCUGGAGAGAAAAGUACAUGUUUGUGUGUGUGGACAAGUCUUCAGCCAAUUAUCAGGCUUCACAAACCACAAAUGCAGUCACACUGGGGAGAAACAGUGAAAAUGUGGUGAUUGUGGGGAGGAAUUAAUUUCCCCACCUGAGCCGGAAACUCAUCGACGUUGUCACCCCAGUAACAGGACAUUCACCUGCUCAGUGUGUGGGAAGAGACUCACUCAGUCAUUUAACCUGCUGCAACACCAGCUCGUUCACACUGAGGAGAGAUCAUUUCAAUGCCUGGACUGUGGAAGGUGCUGUAGAAGUUCCGGGACUGCUAUGCCAUCAAUGUGUUCAUACUGCAGACAGAUCUUUUAAAUGCCCAGACUGUGGAAAAUGCUUUAAAACUUCCAGGGAGAUGUCAUCCCAUCAAUUACCUCACAUUAAUGAGAGACCUUUUAAAUUCCCAGACUGUGAAAAAAACACAGAGUUCACACAUCUCAACAGCGAUUGGAUUUUGCAGUUCAUCACAUUCAGGACUGAAGGUAAAGUUUUAAUAUUUUGGAUAAAACUCACGUCAAUCAGCUUUAUGUCAAAAACAGUGUGGCAGGUCAUUGUACGAAUGUGAUCAUGGAGUACUUGGUAGAGUCAGCACGGCUUCAUCAAGGGGAAGUCAUGCCUGACAAAUCUUAGAAUUCUUUGAGGAGGUACUGAGCAAGUUAGGUAAA